CCUACGGGUGGCAGCAGUGAGGAAUAUUGGUCAAUGGACGAGAGUCUGAACCAGCCAAGUCGCGUGAAGGAUGACUGCCCUAUGGGUUGUAAACUUCUUUUAUAAAGGAAUAAAACGAGGCACGUGUGCCUGUUUGCAGGUACUUUAUGAAUAAGGAUCGGCUAACUCCGUGCCAGCAGCCGCGGUAAUACGGAGGAUCCGAGCGUUAUCCGGAUUUAUUGGGUUUAAAGGGAGCGUAGAUGGGUUGUUAAGGCAGGUGGGAAAGUUUGGGGCUCAACCCUAGGAUUGCAAUUGAAACUGGCAGUCUUGAGUACAGUUGAGGUAGGCGGAAUUCGUGGUGUAGCGGUGAAAUGCUUAGAUAUCACGAAGAACCCCGAUUGCGAAGGCAGCUUACUAAACUGUGACUGACAUUGAGGCUCGAAAGCGUGGGUAUCAAACAGGAUUAGAUACCCUAGUAGUC
rnacentral:rRNA from 1 species